CUACGGAGGGGGUUAGCGUUGUUCGGAAUUACUGGGCGUAAAGCGCACGUAGGCGGAUUGGAAAGUAGGGGGUGAAAUCCCAGGGCUCAACCCUGGAACUGCCUCCUAAACUAUCAGUCUAGAGUUCGAGAGAGGUGAGUGGAAUUCCAAGUGUAGAGGUGAAAUUCGUAGAUAUUUGGAGGAACACCAGUGGCGAAGGCGGCUCACUGGCUCGAUACUGACGCUGAGGUGCGAAAGCAUGGGGAGCAAACAGGAUUAGAAACCCUAGUAGUCC
rnacentral:rRNA from 1 species